UACGGGGGGGGCAAGCGUUGUUCGGAUUCAUUGGGCGUAAAGGGUGCGUAGGUGGCGCUGUAAGUCAGGUGUGAAAUUUCGGAGCUUAACUCCGAAACUGCAUUUGAUACUGCGGUGCUCGAGGACUGGAGAGGAGACUGGAAUUUACGGUGUAGCAGUGAAAUGCGUAGAGAUCGUAAGGAAGACCAGUGGCGAAGGCGGGUCUCUGGACAGUUCCUGACACUGAGGCACGAAGGCCAGGGGAGCAAACGGG
rnacentral:rRNA from 1 species